AGGAGAUUGUGUAUCAUCUAUUCAUUGUAUUUCUAUUCAUUGUAUUUCUAUUCAUUGUAUUUCUAUCUUCAACAUGCAAUACCAGAUUACAGCCCUGCCAUUAUUUGAAGGCAGCCAAUCCAAUAGUUUCUGAGAUCGGUAUUCAAAAAGUUUAGAAAAAGUAGUACUUUUUUUUGGGGGGGGGGGGGGACACCUGCAUUCAAAUCGUUUUUUUGUCACCUUUAAAGUAACUAUUUGCUGCACCGAGAAGAAAAAAAAGAAGUUGACUUUCCAGACAGUUAAAAGAAUAGUUCUCCCGGUGUCUGUGGUAGGGCGUGUUCUCUGAAGCACAGAGGACAUCUGGUGAUGUGCUGUUGGUGAGGAGGUGCAAAACACAAAAUGGCGAAUGGAAGAGGACGGAAACCACCUAAAAAGAAUCUCAUCAUCAUCAGAGGUUUGCCCGGAGUUGGAAAGAAGAGCCAUGCAAGAAAGCUCCUUGAUGAAUAUGGAAGACCAGACGUGGCUGGAGGGAUAUACUCUGCUUCCAACUACCAUGCUAUGUUCAACUGGAACAAGUUCCACUUCCCACGUAACCAUCAGUGGAAUAGACGGGAUGUUUUUAGAGCCAUGAAGGAAGGUGUGGAUCCGAUCAUCGUUUACAACAUCCACUGUUUACUUUCUGACAUGUGGCCCUAUGUCUACAUGGGGAUGAGUUGGCGUGACUACCACAUCACUAUAAUAGAGCUGCCUGAAGGUUGUCCUAAAAACGCUUUGUCCAUCAACCAGCUGUACAGAAACUGUCGUGGUAAGAUCCCCAAGCAUAAGUUCAGGUACUGGGAGAAUUACUGGGAAGAAGCUGACGACAUCUGGGAUGUACUUGACGACGGCUCCUCCAUAGACCGCUGGCAGUAUGAAAGAGAGGAAUGGAUCCUCUAGUGAAGACACACCAGUACCUCCAUUUUGUGUGAACUACUGUUUUUAAUAUUUUUUUUUUUAGCUUUUUUCAAAACUACACUUUUAAAGAGUAUUGGUUACCUAGCAACCCCUAGAACCCAACAACAACUCAUACCUUACUGUUGUACUUGUCUUUCUUGCACUGACGCCUGUUUUGGUUGUGUCUGAGGCAUUUUUGGUAUAUCAUAUCGUUGAUCGUUGUUUUGGCACCACUCGAGUUAGAAGUUCAGAACGAGAAACUGUAAGCUAUAUAUAUAUAUAUAUAUAUUUAUAGAAGUAAUGGUCCUCAUAUUGAAAAAAAUAUCAGGAUUAGGGUUUUGGAUUUUUAUCAUCCUAAUCGAGGUGUAGAUUACAUCUCACAUUUCCAGUGUUCAAACAUGUUAACAAGUCUGCAUGGGAUUUUCGUCUCAAUGUGACUCUGUGCAGCCAAUGACAAUGUCCACUUCAGGUAUAAUCUCGGGAGCCACUUGCGGAUUUGACAGCUCUAACGCAGUUUCACCUUAACAAAAAAAAAAAAAUCUGAUUGAAUAGAGUCCUAAAUCGUUCUGGAUAAGUGCAUCUGCUAAACGUCAAAUGUAUAUGUUUACAUCGCCUGAUCCCAUAUCUGUUGCGGUCUCGCCAACUGCUAUUGGUCAUUGGUGUGACCGUAGGACCAUAGGAGUUGGCAAGAGCAUAGACUGCUCUGAGAUCAGGCUACAGUAGCCUACGCAUAAAUUGCAAGGCGUCACACUUUCGAAUGGUUUUCGUGUUGUAUGGUGCUUGAAACAACAGUUGUGGGUUUGAUUCCAACAUGGGUCACAUAUCGUUUUACUGUAUGCUUGAGAUAUGUUUCUUUAUACAGUAUUACAGAAACAGGACUGUGCUGUAGGCUACUAGAUUCAAGCAGAAGUGAUAGAAGUACAGAACUAUGUUUUCCGUAUUAUGUUAUUACCGUCCAACAGAUCUGCAGACUCCUAGUAGUCUAAAGUUAGUUCCUUCGUUUCUGACCGUUCAUAAAGUUUUUGCAUUUUUGUCGUUUUUAACAAUAACGUUUAAAUCUUUUUGAGGUUUUUUUUUCUACACUUUUCUAUAAAUUGGCAUCUAUAAUGUUGUGUUUUUGCUUUCAAUAUGCUUUGUUGCCAGCAAUAAAUAAUUUGAAAUAAUUUGCUUUAAAAUUGUCUCUCAUCAUCAUCAUCAUCAUAUCAUCGCUAGUGCAACAGGAGAGUUUCCUGGUUUCCUGGUUUCCUGGUUUCCUGGUGGGUUAAGUUGUUAGUAGCUAUUGGGUGACUCUACUUGACUCUACGGUCAUCGGAGCUCUCGGAUCCAAGGUACAAUGAGUUAUAACUGUUAUUACAAAGUUGUUGUAACGGUGAGCGACCUGUAAAUGGUGAGGAGAAAGCUGAUUGGGCACCUGAUCAUUUUCAGAGGGCUGCCUGGAUCAAGGAAGUCAGAUCGGGCAAGGUCAACUUUUUCAGAUCGCAGGACGAGGAUAAAGUCAUUUUUCUUGAUGAUAAUAAAAAAAUAAAAAUAAAAAUUGUACCAUUGUCAAAAGAAAAAAGGUUUAAAUAUACAAGGGGAAUUCAGG
rnacentral:lncRNA from 1 species